rnacentral:lncRNA from 1 species
CUCCGCUACUCAGAGUUUGAAAGAUAGUUAACAUGCAUUGCUAAGAUCAUCAGGAGUUUCAUUGCAUUUCUGUGUGUGCCAAUGUUUAUUGAAAGGGGUGUAUGGCUAACUGGUUUGGAACAGAAAUUCUGAAGGUAAGCAAAUAAUUUAGCGAAAAACAGAUAUGAGAAUAAGCUGCAACUCCCUAUUCCUAUGUUAGAGAGCAUGUGUAUUCUUGUUUUCGCAUUGUGGCACUAGUAACUAGUAGGCAUUAGGAACGAGAAGAAAAGGAAAAAAAAAAGUGGAAAAAUGCUGUAAAGGAAAAUGCAGCUGAUUUGACUUAUUUUUCACAGGUUGGAUAUUGAGUCUAGGAUCCUGAAAACCCAAAGGAGGAGAUAAAAAGUAAGAGGACGGCGUUCAGCCACUUCUGGGAAAACAGAGUUCCAUCAAAUUUAAUGAUUUUUUGGGAAAACAACCACAAUCACUAAAAAAAAAAGAAAGGAAGAAAAGAAAAAAAAGUCAUUGUCUUCAGAAAUCGUGGCAGAAAUUUCUCCCCAGCAAAGAAAAGCAGCUAUCAAUGGAGAAGUUGUAGUUUAGUAGCAGGCUGUAGUGCAAAUUUAAAAUUCUCAUUUUCCAGGGGUCACAGGAUAGCUGAGGCUGGAAGUGACCUCUUGAAGUCACCUGGUCAAACCUUGGUUUAUUUUGAAUGAAACAGCAUCAUACCAGACACUCUGAAGAAAACAAUUCUAUCCCAGCUGAAACUAAGACACCAGGAUGAUGUCCAGACAAUUUAUGAAGAUCUCUAAGGAGGAGACUCCACAGCCUCUCUGUGCCAAUACUCAGUCACCUGCACAGCACAGAAAUGUUCAGGCAGAGCAUCCUCUGUUCCUGUUUGUUCCCCUUGCUUUUUGUCCUGGCAAUGGGCAUUACUGAAUAGAAC